rnacentral:tRNA from 1 species
GGUGGGAUGGCCGAAACUAGGCGGCGGGUUGUAGCCCCGAAGACAGAGGUUUAAAUCCUCUUCCUACCA